rnacentral:rRNA from 1 species
AACGUAGGAGGCGAGCGUUAUCCGGAGUUACUGGGCGUAAAGCGCGUGUAGGUGGCUGGUUACGUCUGCUGUGAAAGAUCCCGGCUUAACCGGGAAGAGGCGGUAGAUACGGAUCAGCUAGAGGGUGACAGAGGAGCGUAGAAUUCCGGGUGUAGUGGUGAAAUGCGUAGAGAUCCGGAGGAAUACCAGUGGCGCAAGCGGCGCUCUGGGUCGAGCCUGACACUGAGACGCGAAGGCAUGGGGAGCGAACGGG